GAUGAACGCUAGCGGCAGGCUUAAUACAUGCAAGUCGAGGGGCAGCAUGGGUAGCAAUACCUGAUGGCGACCGGCAAACGGGUGCGGAACACGUACGCAACCUUCCCAUAACUGGUGAAUAGCCCUCCGAAAGGAGGAUUAAUACACCGUAACAUAAUGAAGUGGCAUCACCUUAUUAUUAUAGCUCCGGCGGUUUUGGAUGGGCGUGCGCCUGAUUAGGUAGUUGGCGGGGUAAC
rnacentral:rRNA from 1 species